UGUGAAAAGAGAGGUCUGCAGAUUCAUGCUGUAGUUGCAGAUGGACUGUCGCUUAAUCGCAGGUUUUUUAAACUGAUAAGUGCAGUACUGUGGACAGACAUUGUUAAAUUAUAUGAAGUGGAUGCAAUGUCACCAAUCCUAAAUUCUUCAGGACUAACUGUGGAUCACAUUAAACUUACACCAUACAGUAAAAUGAAAGUUAACUUAGCUAAGGAUGUUUUGAGUUGGCGUGUUGGACAGUGUUUAAGUGUUAUUCCAGCAGCAAAAGGAACAUCUGACUUUGUUUUGAUGUUUUCAAAAUGGUCUGAAAUAAUUAAUUGCAGUACAAGUUCCCCCAUUCGCAACUGUUUAGACACAAGGUUGGAGUGGUUUCAUAAAAAAGUUGCCAAAAUCGAAGGUUGCUUACUUGUUCUAUUUAUUUGUUACGUAUUUCCAAAGUAUUCUUUUUAUCUAAUUUAGAAAACUUUACAACCAUUUCAGAAUGAUGUUGAAGUGAACCACCCAGGAGGAGACAAACGAUUAUUGACCCGACCAACUCUGGAGGGGUUGUUGUUUACCACAAACAAUUUUAUCGAAUUAUCUCGCAGGCUGUUACAAUUACCUUGUUUACAUGACGGUUUAAGUCGGAUUCGAAUCCGACUGGUCGAUCCGCUAUUCUCGUUUUCGGCGAAAAGAAAAAGGCGAGUCGGAUUGAAGCUGACCGAUCCUCAAUCCGCUCAGACUAGUGGUUUACGGGUCGGAUUUAGCGAUCCAGUUGGAUUAAACAGUCGGAAAUGUUGAUGUUUAGGACUUGUUAUACAGUUAACGUAUUGUUUUUGCAGGGAAUAUGGUAGUAGCAGAGUGCGUGUACAUCUGGCAACAAAUUCCCAUGAAUUAACAUGACAAAUUAAUUAAAUUUUACCCGACAAAUGCAGAUUUCGCUCUUUGAAAUAGGUAAAAAACAGCUUUUUAUAGUCUACAAGCAAAAUUUGUGCUACUGAAAAAUUUUUCAACCACAUGCGUAUUGCCUAAUCUGUAACGAUACCUGAUUAUGGUACCACAAAAUUGUGGGGAUCAUUCUUCACUGGUACUGCAAAUUUGAAUACCUUAUUCUUAUAGAGGGCAUAGACCACCAUAACAUAGCAUGUUGACCAGCAUUAUUUGCAAGGGCAAUUGCUUGUACAUGUACCAGUCAAAUAACACAAUCAUCAGGAACCACCAACACCACGAGAAAAAUAUCUUGUGAAAUAGAAGAAUGAAGUUUUACUGAUGAUGGUUUAACAAGCUAAUAUGUUUAUAUUUUAUUAUGAUCGAUUAUGACACAAACACUUGCUGCUUCAUUUAAAAAUGCCAGAGUUUUAUUGCAACUUCCUUCGAAAAUCGUAAAAGUCAUUCUGACUUCUUUGUCAAAGUGUAUUUGGUUGUCUGUAUGAAGUAUGUGGUAUGAUACCCAAACUUUUAUGUCUGAAACUUCUGUUUUGUGCAGAUUAAACAUGUGGAUUUACUGUUUUUGUAUAUUUUGCUUUUGUUAUUAACUUAUUGUUGCACAGUACCUACUACCAAUAAAUUAAUUUAUUGUUGCAGUACCUACUACCAAUAAAUUAAACAAAUAAAACCAUUCAUUUGACACAUGUCAUACUUGUUAAAAGCAUAGGACAAAACUUAGCACACUUUUGUGGAAUGCUGAAUUAAUAGCAACAACCCAUCUGAAGUGUUUGCAGCACAUAAAUAACGGUAUUUGGAAUUUUAGAUGAACCAGUUAAGUAGAUUAAAAUAAUGUAUAAAUGCACUUUAAGGCUUCUGUUUGUUAUAAUUCAAGCUAUACUGAUAACUUAUUGCGGUAAUAAAGUUUAUUAAAACUGGCGACUACAAACGCUUCGGUCCCCAUUUCAGUUUCAAUCCGAUUGAAACGCGCCAUGUAAAUACGACGUUUUAGCGGAUCGGAUUUGA